GGGGAAUAUUGCGCAAUGGGCGAAAGCCUGACGCAGCGACGCCGCGUGGGGGAUGAAGGCCUUCGGGUUGUAAACCCCUUUCAGCAGGGACGAAGCGAAAGUGACGGUACCUGCAGAAGAAGCGCCGGCUAACUACGUGCCAGCAGCCGCGGUAACACGUAGGGCGCAAGCGUUGUCCGGAAUUAUUGGGCGUAAAGAGCUCGUAGGCGGUCUGUUGCGUCCGCUGUGAAAACUCGGGGCUUAACCCCGAGCCUGCAGUGGAUACGGGCAGACUAGAGGUAGGUAGGGGAGAAUGGAAUUCCCGGUGUAGCGGUGAAAUGCGCAGAUAUCGGGAGGAACACCGGUGGCGAAGGCGGUUCUCUGGGCCUUACCUGACGCUGAGGAGCGAAAGCGUGGGGAGCGAACA
rnacentral:rRNA from 1 species